UAAGUGAAGAGUUUGAUCCUGGCUCAGAGUGAACGCUGGCGGUAGGCCUAACACAUGCAAGUCGAACGGCAGCACAGGAGAGCUUGCUCUCUGGGUGGCGAGUGGCGGACGGGUGAGGAAUACAUCGGAAUCUACUCUGUCGUGGGGGAUAACGUAGGGAAACUUACGCUAAUACCGCAUACGACCUACGGGUGAAAGCAGGGGACCUUCGGGCCUUGCGCGAUUGAAUGAGCCGAUGUCGGAUUAGCUAGUUGGCGGGGUAAAGGCCCACCAAGGCGACGAUCCGUAGCUGGUCUGAGAGGAUGAUCAGCCACACUGGAACUGAGACACGGUCCGACUCCUACGGGAGGCAGCAGUGGGGAAUAUUGGACAAUGGGCGCAAGCCUGAUCCAGCCAUACCGCGUGGGUGAAGAA
rnacentral:rRNA from 1 species